ensembl:snRNA U5 U5 spliceosomal RNA
AUGCUCAGGUUUCUCUUCAUAUCGUACAAAUCUUUCGCCUUUUACUAAAGAUUUCCGUGAAGAAGAGAAACAAGUACGAGUGUGAAAUAAUUUUUUGAGGCUUCACUAAGGUGGAGCU